rnacentral:rRNA from 1 species
UGGCUCAGAUUGAACGCUGGCGGCAGGCCUAACACAUGCAAGUCGAACGGUAACAGGAAGCAGCUUGCUGUUUCGCUGACGAGUGGCGGACGGGUGAGUAAUGUCUGGGAAACUGCCUGAUGGAGGGGGAUAACUACUGGAAACGGUAGCUAAUACCGCAUAACGUCGCAAGACCAAAGAGGGGGACCUUCGGGCCUCUUGCCAUCGGAUGUGCCCAGAUGGGAUUAGCUUGUUGGUGGGGUAACGGCUCACCAAGGCGACGAUCCCUAGCUGGUCUGAGAGGAUGACCAGCCACACUGGAACUGAGACACGGUCCAGACUCCUACGGGAGGCAGCAGUGGGGAAUAUUGCACAAUGGGCGCAAGCCUGAUGCAGCCAUGCCGCGUGUAUGAAGAAGGCCUUCGGGUUGUAAAGUACUUUCAGCGGGGAGGAAGGGAGUAAAGUUAAUACCUUUGCUCAUUGACGUUAUCCGCAGAAGAAGCACCGGCUAACUCCGUGCCAGCAGCCGCGGUAAUACGGAGGGUGCAAGCGUUAAUCGGAAUUACUGGGCGUAAAGCGCACGCAGGCGGUUUGUUAAGUCAGAUGUGAAAUCCCCGGGCUCAACCUGGGAACUGCAUCUGAUACUGGCAAGCUUGAGUCUCGUAGAGGGGGGUAGAAUUCCAGGUGUAGCGGUGAAAUGCGUAGAGAUCUGGAGGAAUACCGGUGGCGAAGGCGGCCCCCUGGACGAAGACUGACGCUCAGGUGCGAAAGCGUGGGGAGCAAACAGGAUUAGAUACCCUGGUAGUCCACGCCGUAAACGAUGUCGACUUGGAGGUUGUGCCCUUGAGGCGUGGCUUCCGGAGCUAACGCGUUAAGUCGACCGCCUGGGGAGUACGGCCGCAAGGUUAAAACUCAAAUGAAUUGACGGGGGCCCGCACAAGCGGUGGAGCAUGUGGUUUAAUUCGAUGCAACGCGAAGAACCUUACCUGGUCUUGACAUCCACGGAAGUUUUCAGAGAUGAGAAUGUGCCUUCGGGAACCGUGAGACAGGUGCUGCAUGGCUGUCGUCAGCUCGUGUUGUGAAAUGUUGGGUUAAGUCCCGCAACGAGCGCAACCCUUAUCCUUUGUUGCCAGCGGUCCGGCCGGGAACUCAAAGGAGACUGCCAGUGAUAAACUGGAGGAAGGUGGGGAUGACGUCAAGUCAUCAUGGCCCUUACGACCAGGGCUACACACGUGCUACAAUGGCGCAUACAAAGAGAAGCGACCUCGCGAGAGCAAGCGGACCUCAUAAAGUGCGUCGUAGUCCGGAUUGGAGUCUGCAACUCGACUCCAUGAAGUCGGAAUCGCUAGUAAUCGUGGAUCAGAAUGCCACGGUGAAUACGUUCCCGGGCCUUGUACACACCGCCCGUCACACCAUGGGAGUGGGUUGCAAAAGAAGUAGGUAGCUUAACCUUCGGGAGGGCGCUUACCACUUUGUGAUUCAUGACUGGGGUGAAGUCGUAACAAGGUA